rnacentral:rRNA from 1 species
GGCCGAUGACUUUCAACACACAAUAAAACAAUAUUUGAACUGAUGAUUUCAAUGCUGUUCGCGUUCACUAUGCGGUUACGAGACAACAACCUCUAGCCAGCAAAUACGGAUACAAGACUUUGUAGCACCGGAAAACAUUGACCAGGAAACGUUUUGGUUUGUGUGCUUCGUGAUUGUUACGGCGGUCAUAGCGUGGGGGAAACGCCCGGUCCCAUACCGAACCCGGAAGCUAAGGCCCACUGCGCCGAUGGUACUGCACUCGUGAGGGUGUGGGAGAGUAGGUCACCGCCGGAC